rnacentral:rRNA from 1 species
CGGACGGGUGAGUAAUGUCUGGGAAACUGCCCGAUGGAGGGGGAUAACUACUGGAAACGGUAGCUAAUACCGCAUAACGUCGCAAGACCAAAGAGGGGGACCCUCGGGCCUCUUGCCAUCGGAUGUGCCCAGAUGGGAUUAGCUAGUAGGUGGGGUAACGGCUCACCUAGGCGACGAUCCCUAGCUGGUCUGAGAGGAUGACCAGCCACACUGGAACUGAGACACGGUCCAG